rnacentral:rRNA from 1 species
GGCUUUAUUGAUUUUAUAUAAGGUUUAACCUGCUCACUGAUUUAUUGAAGAGCCGCAGUAUUUUGACUGUGCGAAGGUAGCAUAAUAAUUAGUUUCUUGAUUAGAAGCUGGAAUGAAUGGUUGGACGAGAAAGUUACUGUCUCUCUAAAAGUUUUUUUUGAAUUUUACUUUUAAGUUAAAAGGCUUAAAUUUUUUUAAAAGACGAGAAGACCCUAUAGAGUUUUAUAUUUAUAUAAAUUUAUUUAAUUUUGGUAUUUUUAUUUCUAAAUUUAUUAAGUAUUUGGUUGGGGUGAUUGGAAAAUUUAAUUAACUUUUCUUUGUUUUUAACACUUUUUUGUGAAUUUUUGAUCUUAUUUGUUUGAUUAAUAGAAUAAAUUACCUUAGGGAUAACAGCGUAAUUUUCUAUUAAAGUUCUUAUUAAAUAGGAAGAUUGCGA